AAUAUAAAUAACCCCAAAAACACUUAAACUUAUUAAACAAAACAUUUUUCCUCCUUAGUAUGGGAGACAGAAAAGGAUUCAUGGGCGCAAUAGAAAAAGUACCGCAAGGGAAA
rnacentral:rRNA from 1 species